ACCAUGCCACCUUUGUCAGAAGCUCCAGGUGCAGCAAAAUCCAAAUAAUCAGUGGUAAAAUGUCUCCAUAUUUGGCAGAAAUGUUGUUAAAUUUAGUUCAUUUCUGUAAAAGCAGAAGAGCUCCGUGUCUCAGCCACGCACAGAGAGGAGAGCUCUAUUUAUCCAUGCCCACGCGCACCCAUCACCCCCGCCCACGCCGUUAUUGUAGGUCAGUGCAGUAACGCAGAGCCAAACCCACUCUGGACUGAGAAGGUGUUUGUUUCCUUCAAUCUGCCAAACAUCUAUCCACGAGGAACCAGAAGAAAAAGGAAAAGGGGGGAGUGAGGACUUUCACGUGCUCGUGUACACAGUUAAUCUGAACCAGGCGCACGGUGAGUGCGUGCGUGCGUGCGUACCAGCUGACCCAGGUCCCUCCACUCGAGUUUAAUGGGUGCAGGAGGGAGCCGAGGUCAGAUGAACUGGACCUCCACCUCCACCUCCACCACCGCCCUUAUAAUCCUCAGUGUUUGUCCAGGCUGCUCAUUCAACUGUAUGUCAAACUCACUCCACGUCUCAUGUCACAUCUUGAAUUAAAAAACACUGACGUUCACCGACCACAGCAGUGUUGCGGCUCAUGCAGAUCUGGCCUUUAAAAGAGAAAAAAGUGCUUUGAAGUUGGUACUGAUGUUUUCUGGGUUGUAAAUGCCCUCUGUUAAUGACCCUCUCAUGGAACAAUGUGAGUACAAUGGUGGUGUUCUCACUCAGAAGAAUGGAACACAGAGGAGGACUCUUUCCUAAAGCUGUUAACCGUUUGACCCCUGAGACCAGACUGCCUCAUUGAAGACCUGCAGGACAUUUGUGAGUCGUCUUCCUCCUCCACUCCUGCCAUCUUUGUCUUUUCUCCUGACUCUGACUCUGCUGCGCUGCCAACCCGCACAAGUUUGCUCACGACAUUUCAUUCUCCAGAGAAACCAGAGUUUGAAGUGUGCCAGUACUGUCCCAUACAUAAUACGUGGAGGAUAAAGUGGUAGAAGAUGAGCGAAGAUGACACAUUUCACAUCUUUGCUCCUUUCUCUGCGUCUGUUCCAUGGAAUUGUUUUGGAUAAGGGAAGUUGAGCCCUUUAGGCGUCAGCAUUUCCUACAAGUUUCCAUACGGAGAAGUGAACAUCUGCCAUCAUCAGCCAACUCUGAAUGUUCCUGGACAAGAACCAGAACGUCCCAAACAGGAGUGGGGGAGAGAAACUUCUGUCUCCAUGUCGUCACUGAUGACAAGCGUCCAUGUCUCAGGCUGAUUCCUGAUGACGGCAGCGCUGACUGUGCGUCUGUCCCUUCAAACAACAACAACACUUCAAAAACACCCCAGGUAUCACUUAAACGCCGGG